CAGGUUUGAAGGAAGCGUUCCAAAUACAUUCUGUGAAAUGGCAGCAUUGUUAGAACAUGCAGGCACCAACCUCCCUCGGGAAGGAUUUUGAAGAGGACAAUGCUCAUUGGGUUUUAGGUACUGGGGCAAUUACUCAAAUGUAAUAAUCUUGAACACACCCAGCUUCUGGGAGCCUGGAAGGUGUUUGCCGAGCUGCUUUUAGGGACAGUGAUACCAGCAAUAUCCACUGGGGGUCUCUCUCAUACAAAUAAUGGCAUAGCUGUUCCCAGCAGUUAGAGGAAAUGGCAGCCCUGGGACCUGGGGGGAUCCAAGGGCAGUCCACGUCUCCAUGGGAAGAUGGCAGCAGCUCUGUGGCUCUUCACAGUGAAGUGACGACCUGUUGUUAAAUGUUUAACAGAAGCCAAACUUGGCUUUUAGGGGACAGCUCUCCUGCCAGCCAGCCAGCUUGCCAAAGGAAUCUUUCCUGUGCACAGAGAGCACACUGGGCUUGGAGACAUUCUCUGCACAGUGGGAUUUGGUGAGAAUCUUAAGAGUUUCUGUUCAAGGUCAGUUUGUCUCUCUCAGACCGUGGCACCAAGGAACCUGCUGCUACCCUACUUGAUGGGGCUGAACAGGAGAUAUAUUCCACGCUUCACAAUUGCCACCUUUCGGGAGCGGCUUCACCAGGUGAAGAAGCCCUGGUUUAGAGAUGAGAUCUGGGUUUGGGUUCUGGUUCUGCCCCUCAUUAGCCAUGUGACCUUGAGCAAGCCUUAUCCUUUCUCGUUCUCGGUUUCUUCAUCUGUAAGAUUAGGAAUACUCAUCUCUAAUACUAAUCUCAAAAAUUGUUUUGAGUGUUAAAUAGGAACGAAUGCAUAUGAAACUUUAGAGAAGGGCUUGGCAGAUGUUUUCUAUGAAGGGACAGAUAGAAACUAUUUUUGGCUUUAUUGACCUUACAGGCUCUGUCUCAACUACAGAAUUCCACGAUUGUAGUAGCGUGGAAGCAGCCAUAGGCAAUUCAUCAAGAGAUCAGCAGGGCUGUGUCCACUAAAACUUUAUUUUACAAAAACAGGCAGUGGGCUGGGUCUUGCUCAUGGGCUGUACUUUGCCUAUCCUCACAGCCUGUUUCUGUGAAGCCCGUGAGCUCAGGAUGGUUUUAUGUUUCUAAAGGGUUGUAAGGAAAAAACAAAGAAAAGGUGACAGUGCCCAGAGCGAGUAUUUACCACCGGCUUCUUGGAGAAGCUGGCUGGCUCCGCUCUAGAGCAUUGCAGGAAAGUCAGCCCAGGAGGCAGGCAGCUGUGUCCCUGAGUAUCAGGGGGCCUGCCUGGUAAGUCACAAUGAAACAGACAGUGGCCAGAUGACCCCUGGGCCCUAUCCAGCUCCAGGGGCUAGGGUCCACAUGACUCUGAUGACCGAGCUCAGGGGCUAGAGGAGGGAAGGGAAAUGGCCCCCUAGUUCUCUUUUCAGUUGUCUAUUUCAGAUGGUCCUUAUGAAAGAGGAUCAGCAAAGCUUCCAUCAGAAAAUGAACCAAUAAUCAAGUGAAUGGGGCUUUCGUUUCCUGAAUUGUCUCUAGCCUGUGAGGCUGUGCUUCCAUAUGGAACUUCUGAGUUCUCUACGAACUCGAACAAUGAGUCAUGGGCGAGCCCAGGACUCCCACCCACUUGGAGUCAUGGGGCUCUGACAUGGAGACAAGACCACAGGGUUUCUGUCAGGCCAGAGCCCUGACCCCUCAGCUAAGAUGUUUCUUCUUUGUUCUAGAUUCAGUCAUAUAAGCAGAGGCAGCAGGUACUAGGCCUCAGAGUAAUAGUCCCUGAAGAAAAUAAAGAGAAAGUCUGUCUGAGAAAAGCCAGUUGUGCCAGUUAAAGAAUGACCUAUGGCCACAAUGCCUUACUGGAGGGUGCUUGGGAGCCCAUGUCCUCAUGUCUGUUGUAUCGGGUUAGGGAGAUCCUGGUGCAUUUCAGUGGGGAGGGGGUUGCUGCUGGUCGUGUUUUCACUCCUUCUCUCUCCUUCCCCAGUGACCCCAAGACAAAAUGCUGUUAGGUAAGUGGGGUCUGCUUAGCCCCACUAAGUUCCCCCAUCCACCAUUAGGAAUCAGUGGUAUUGUUAUAGUCUACCAGGACCGACCUGGUGCUGCUCAGAACCAGGGGCUCAAGGCAGGGCCUCCCUUCAUCUUCUUAAAUUAUUCUCUAGCAGCUCUGAGUCUCCCAAAGAUUGGUCCUAGAGAAAAGACUAUGUCAUUUACUGCUUUUUCUGAUGGUAAAAACAUGCAUAUUUACUGCAGAAAAUUUGAAAAAUAGAGAAAUGUGUAAAGAAGAAAACGUACAAAAUAACUUUAGACUCAAAACCAAUCUGAUUAAAUCAGGAAAUCAUUAUUUAUUGAGCACCUACUAUGUGCCAGCCACUGUUGUUCUUGGUGCUGGGGACAUAGCAGUGAAAAAAAAACAAAGUCCUCCCCUUCGUGGAGCCUAUAUUUCAGUAGGGACAGUCAGUACAGUACAGGAAGGGGCUGGGCUGAUGGAACAGGAUGCCUUUUUUGAUAGGGUGGUCAGGACAAGAGGAAGCAAGGGAUGCAGCUAUUUGGGGAAGAGUGUUUCCAGCAGAAGGAAGAAGACCUGCCCAGGUGUCGGAUAAGAGCCUGCUUGGUGCAUUCAGGGAUACGAAGGAGGCCAGCGUGGCUGAGAUGAGGUAGGGGCAGCCGGGGUGAGAACAGGUGGGACUUGCCGGCCAUGAAGAGGACCUUGGAUUGCUGUUGAGUGAAAUGGAAAGCCAAAUGUAGGGUCUUGAACAGAAGAGGGACAUGAUGAGCCUUAUGUUUUGAAAUGAUCAUUCUGGACACCAGAUGGAAAAUAGACAGGGGCUGGGGGUGGGGUUGGCAAGGGGAGAAGCUUGGAAGCCAUUUGGUUAUUGCGAAAGUCACACAAAGCUGUGAAAGCAGAGCUGGCCUGGUUGAAGGAAGGGUGGAGGUGGGGGGAGGGCCGGCAUUUCCUCCCACUGAGCCUCUGCCCUUCCCUUUUCCUGCUCUCUGAGGUUCCACCAUGGGACCCCAGGGUACCUAGGAUUACAAUUUGAAAGCUAUUGGACUAGAGGUUCUCUAAGGGCCCUUCCAGCUUUGCCUCCUGUGCUCUUGUGUUUCAGGACCAUGCUGAUUCUGUGGGACCAGGCCCGGGCUCUACCAGCCAGGCCUCUGAACAUGUCAACUUGAGAACUGAACAGGUUCAGGGUCUAGGAAGGGGAGACAUUUCAAAAUUUUAAUUAAAAAAUAUUUUUAACGUUUAAAUUUUUGUAGAGACAGGGUCUUCCCAUGUUGCCCAGGCUGGUCUCAAAUUUCUGGGCUCAGGUGAUCCUCCCGCCUUGGCCUCCCAAAAUAUUGGGAUUACAGACAUGAGCCAUGAGAUUUGGAAACUUAAUUCAGCUCCCACAUACUAAACGUGGCCAGCCCUGUGUGGGGAUUGUAAGAGGGGAUAAGUAAGAGGAAAUGUCUGCUCCAAGAAACUCACUGGCUGGGAUGGGAACUAGGGAAUCACACAAAUGGCCCAGCCCAAAGUCUGAGAGGCCCCGGCCCCUCCCUGCCUGGCCUUUUUUCCAUGUGGCCCCUGAGCCAGUGGUUCCCAAACUGGGCAGGUCAUGGGGUCAUCGAGGAACUUCAGAAUAUGCAGAUGCCCAGACUGUGCCCUCAAAGAUUCAAAUUCAGUUAGUCGAGGGUGGGUGGGGCCUGGGAAUCUGUUCAGACAAAGGCCUGGCCUGAAGCCUGGGCUGGAGGGUUCAGUCCAGACAGAAGAACAGAGACUGAUGAGAGGGCUUCUGCCAGCUUCACCAAGCCCGUGCUAGGCAGGAUGUGGAAAUCAAGCCUGUCUUCCAGUGGGGCACGGGGGUGGGGAGCUGGAGGAGGGGGUGGCAGCUCCUUUAUCAGCUGUCCCCAUCAGAGGCCCUUCUCCCAGGAAGGAAUGUUUAAAAAACUCCCAGGAAGGAAUUGCUGGGUUUGGAGACUAUGAGAAUUCCCCAUCUCCCCCAAUCUCCUCAGCCACCUCAAAUCAACCAGCCCGUCUCCCCAUGUUUGGGUUAACUCCUUAUUGGCUCGGAAUGUCUCGCCUGGGUUGACUACUGAUCUGUGAGAUCGCUUAGUGGCCUGAAAUAUUUCCAGAAUACAAGCAACACUGACAAAAAUAUUCUUGUAGGGCCCCACAAAUCUCACUGAGAAAGAACCCCUACAGGUGGAGAGGAGUGUGGGGUAUGCAGACUGGAAGGUGGGACCCUGAUUCAUUCCAGAACUGGAAGGAAAUCAGACAUUUCCAAACAGGAGAGAGAUGGGAAGCCGGAGGAAGGAGCAGGAGGAGGGAAGAGAAUGAAUCUUAUGUGAAUGAAUGGUAAUUUUCUCUCAGUUACUGGGAAGAAAAAAAAAUAACAAAAUCAGACCUUGGUCUGGUCCACUAAAAAGAAUUCUCUGAGUCAGACUUCUUUCAUGGAAGUUGUGAACUUUAUCCUCUGGCAGCCAUUUAUCUAAUAUUAAACCCCUUAACCUUCCUAAUUGUUCUCUUUCAGUAUCAGCUGGUUUCAUAUUAACCUUUCAGUCUUUCCCAUAAUGCAGUUACCUCCAACUCCCGCCAGACCCAAUUCAGAGCUGCCAUCAGGUCAGACCUUUGCCUGCUCUUGGCAACACGUCCCCCUGUCCUGCUCCUCUGCAACCUGCCCCUCUUUUUCUUCAUGUGCUGUGAAGGCACCAUGUGGAUGGGUGUUCAACUUCUGGAUUGGGGAUGCACAGAGCCUGAGGGACACACUUUGCAAACCUGCACCUUGCACUUUUGGGUUCUGGCCUGCAAGGUCUCCUUUAUUCUUUUGGACCAAGGCUGUCCCUGGGAGAGGGCAGCCGCCGGCCUGUCAGAGCAAAUCAGCCUCAGGCGGUUUCUGCGGCUCUGGUAUUUGAGCUUUGUUUUCCCUCUCUCCCGGGAAGAACUCAUUGAAAUAGUUUCUCUGGGAAAGACAAAGCGUCUCGCCCAGAUGCUGAAGGAUCACUUGGUAACUGCCUGUCUUGGUUUCCCGUUGUGCCCAUGAAGGCGCCAUCAGCUCUAAAGCUGACCUGUGGUUCCGUCUCCAAACAGCUAACCCAGACGUCACCCCCUUGCAGCCAGCCGCACAGCCUGAGUUGGAGUUCUGGCCUCUCCUAGCAGUGAGUGACAGUGUUGGAGGGGCCUUGGACACCUUGGGUAAUUGCUAACUAAAUAUGAGCAGUAGGGGAAGGUCUUCUGGUCCACGGCAGAGCCAACGGGGCACUUCCUCUUCUCUUUUCUAGUCAGGGUAGAAAGCUAGAAAGAAUCCUAAAAAUCACUAUCCAAGUCCCCAUUGUGUGGGGACAGAGGCCUGGCCUGAAGCCUAGGCUGGAGGGUUCAGUCGGAAGCAGAAGCCGGGAGACUGCAUGAGAGGGUUCCUUCCAGCUUCACCAAGCCCGUGCUGCGCGGGAUGAAGAAAGUCAAGCCUGUCUUCCAGUGGGGCCCUGAGGUGGGGGAGCUGGAGGAUAGGGUGGCAGCUUUUUUAUCAGCUGUCCCCAAAAGAGGCCCUUCUCCCAGUUGCCACGGACCAAAGCUCCUCCUGGGAGCUCCAGCCUGUCUGUUCAAUGUUUGCCUUGCGCCUUUUCCUGGUGAGGCCACCCCCGGCACCAUCUCAGGCCUCAGAAGGACGACCUCACUGAAACAGCCCUUAGGUUGGGAAAGAAGCAAGCCCUCCGCGCCCCGUCCAAGUCUCUCAACUGGGCACGAGCACACACAGACGCCCAGGCCCUGUCCCUGCGCCAGAAUGGCCGCUCGCGUUUCCAGGCACGAUGCCCCUUUCCAUGAGUGCACAGAGCCCUGGGCUGAGCUGGGGGCCGAGCUCCACGCUCUCUGAGCAGCUCUGAGCGGCACGCCAAAGAAGGUCUUUCAGAUGGGCUCUGGGAUGUGGAACCAUGGCGUCCAGCCCUAGCGUCGACUCCACACUAGAGGCACCCUGACUUUCGCCCCCUUCUUACCUGAGUAUCAGCUUACUUCCAUCUGGGGACUGAAUAUGGGGCAGAUUCCAGAAAAAGGAGGUUGGGGCACCAAAACCAACACCAACUCUGCCAACGGAGCCAGCACAGCUAUUUGUCUCCAACCACAGGCCGCAAGGGAAGUUCACGGGCUCGGCACCCCCAGGUCCCGGAUGUAAGGAUAUUGCCCGUUAGACAAAGGAAAGGCCCCAAGUCCACAACUCAUGUUUGUGAGCUUAACCUUGUCCUAUAAAGCACUUUGGAACAGGCCCAGGUUCUCCCACCAUGUACAGCUGCCAUUGACCUGGACAGUCCCGCAAGGUCCUUCAGUGGAAACCCAGAAGGGAGAGUCACUGCAUGUGAACCCUAAGGGUUCUGGAGGUCAAAGUUGCUGUGGGUGACAGGCAACCAAGACUAAGGGCAAACUUGAAACAUAAAUGAGUUAAAACCCACAAAAAUAAGACAGUUUUAAAUAACUAAACUGUUUUCUCAUUCUUCCUUUUUCAUCUGAGGACGUUUUAGGCAAAUGAAGCUUUAGAGUUUUUCUCCUUUCAUUGGGUUGACAGUGUUUAAAAUUAUAUCCAGAGCUGUCUAAUUUGCCUAUUGCUCUAGGCAUACUGAUCCUCAGGAGGUAAGAUUGGAUGGGUUAAAGUGGACAGGCUCAGGGGCUGAGACUGUCCAUCUCUCUGAGAGUCGGGGGCAGCAUUUAUCAGGGGCCUGUGGUCAGCCAAGCUUGGCUUGGGCUCUGUGGGAAGAUAAAACCAACUGGCCCAGAUGGACUUCUGUGGGGCCUGGAUACUGUUGGGAAGAUAAAGCACAUAAGCCCGGUAAGAAAAAAAAAAAAAAAAAAAAAAAAAAGCCCAGGAGAAGGAAUGCAAGUGAUUCCAAUGCAAUUGAAUUAAGUACAAACUCACUAGGAAUGGGGGGGGGGGUUUGAUUGGCGAAGGGGUUAGUCAGGGGUGGUUAACCACAGAAGAUUGAGGAGGUGAACUUUAAGUUGGACUUGGAGGUAGAAGAGAGAAGUUAGGGGAAGCAUUUGUUUUAUAUUUGGGUGGGGUGCGUGGGAGUGUGGAUAAGUGAAGUGUCACACACACACACACACACAACUUUGAGUAGGAAGAGGGUCAAGAUGACCAGGUUGGCCUAGACAAGUCAGUACUAGCUUAAAAAGUCACACUCAGGAUUCCUGCAGCACCUCCCCCAUACCCACCCCCACCCCAAUGGGCACAGCACUCCCUCUUCUCUCCAACGCAGGCCUCCUGUCUGGGGUGCUAUGAUCAUUUCCAUAGCAACCAAUUGCUCUGUGACAGAGACAUAAUUCUGACUCCAGGUAGGUUAUGAACAGAAGAAACAUAUGAAACCAGUAAGUGACAGAGAUCUAGUUUUCCAGUAAGUGCCCUGCUAAUAAAGAAGAGAAAAUGCACAAACUAAAAGAUAAAUGGAACAGGAAUGAGCAAAUGCUAAAUUUUCUAUGAGGCAUCAGCUGUUUGUUUGCUAAAAACAAUAGCAACCUAAUAGUUUCAACAAGAAUGGUGCUGGCAAGGACAGCUCAGAACAGCCUCUGUCAGUCUGCAGAGUAGGGGCGAUGGCAGAGCCCGGGUAUGCACAGUGUCAGGGUUGUGAGGCAGAAAGAUGCCUUAAACGCAUCACCUCAAUCCUGCACACAUCCCUAGUGCCUUUAUUGGAAAAGCUGCACUGCUGCUGCUGUGAAUCCAGCAUGACCUCGCCUUCAUUCAUUCAUUCACUUAUACAUGCAUGCAUGCAUGCAUAUAUUCAAGAACUCAUCAGUGCUAGGUAGGUUACUAAUUAGAAAUAAUUGGGAGAAAAGUCUGAAUUACUAGGUAUUUUAGAAGCAAAGCUUUCUUACUCUGAAAGCAUGGCUGAGAUGGUGCCUUCAGCAGGGACUCAGAGAGUCUGAUCCAGUCUGGGUCUGCCACUCACACUCUGUAUAACCUUGUGCAAGCCACUUACCAGUCUUGGUCUUCAUCUUGUAGAUGAGGUGAUUGGUGAUCUAUGUGAUGCUUCCAGAUCUGUCUAGUUCAGAGGCCUGCUUUAAGUGUCUAAACGGUUAAUGUCAGAGUGAGUUGAUGUGUUCGGUAUUUUCAUAGAGCAGAACCAAGACUGUUUACUCAUUUACCAUUUAUUUCCACCUUCUGUUGAUAUUGAUUGACCACUUACUAUGUGACAGUCACAGAUCUAGGCAUCAGAAAUAAAGGUAAGACGUGAUGGUGGCUUCAGGGCCCUCAUGGCCAGGUUGGGGGACAGGCAGGCCCAGGCUCAGACCCAUAGGGCACAAGCUGGUCUCCAAGUGUGGACAGAGCUCAUCAGGUGUGGGGAAGGGCACCUCCACCUGUGGUCAAGAGCUCUCUCCACACCCUGGAUGGGGCUGGAAGGAAAGGCAGGAGGCAGACUCAGAGAGGAGGAGCUGCAUGGAGAGGGGGUGCUGAGGAAGCCCCACAUGACCCAGGAAUCUUGCGGGGAGCGGAGAGUAGAGAGAUGCAGACAGGCCAUGCCAAGGCCCGUGCUCUGACAUCAUGGUCAUCCUUCUCAAAGAUCUGGAGAUUAACAGACCACAUAGAAGAAGGGGCAAUAAGUUAAGGAGAAAGAAAAUAAGCAGAAUCCCAGGAGAGAAGAGCAUAAGGUCUGGGCUUUGUGCAGGCAUAUUUGCCUCCAGGGGAGAUACCAGUUGCUGCCUAGUGCUGUCAUCACUAAGGCCUGGGGUGAGGCUAAGAGGUGGACACCUGGGGAGGAGCUGGGAGUGAGUGCCCAGACUGGGAAAAGACUAAGGGAACAUACUAGGCUGCCAGAAAGCCUGGAGCUUUCUGAACUCACCUGAACCUUCUGAGCUUUGGGCAGGGUGCUUUAGUCUGCCCUAAAACCGGCAGAGGGCUUAACGCAUGGUUUCAGUGCAGAGCAAUGUCCAUCUUCUCUAAAACACCCAGAAAGAUUUGGUGAGUGAAUUACAGACUGUGGUGCUAAGGGGAGUCUUAGCCAAAGAGACAACUACUUGCCUUUGAGUUUUCCAUGCUUGUCUACUUAACAGAAUCAUGAGGACUCCCAUAUCCUCUCCUAAAAAUUAACCAGUUAAUUAUUCAACACGCAUUUUGCAGCAGCUAGUUGGUAUUAUUCGUUAUGCUACAAAUUCUCAGGGCUCAACAGAGGCAUUGUUCAUGUCCUUGAGGAGUUUAUAGUACAGCUGGGAGUUUGCGUAUGCAAGUGAAAGUUUAUAUGCACUAAGUUAUAUCUAUUAAGGGCUAAACCAGGAGUGCAAGCAGAGAGGAUUACAGAGGUAGAAGAGAGAGAGCGCGUGUGAGACUGUACAUAGUCUCUUGGGACGGGCUGAUCAGGAAGUCUUCAUGGAGAAGGUGGAAUUUGUGUGGGUUUUGAGGACAGCUAGAUGGAAAGAGGUCAGAACAGAGAUGUGUUUGGGAGAGACAAUGCUCUGCAGUAGCAUUUAGCAGCUGCUACUUGUCUGAGAGGAAACCUGGGCACUAGCAUGGAAAGAGGACAUUUUCUGACAUUGGAAAUACACUUCAAUGUCAACCUCGAUCCAAGUUUGAAUCCUGUGUCUGCCACUUAGUAGCAGAUAGGCCUGGGCAAAUUCCUUAACUUGCCUUAUCUAAAUUGCCCCAUUUAUACAUUGAGAGUGGGGAUAAUGUUGAUCUCAAAAAGCUAUUGGGAGGAUAGAAUUAAUGUGACAACAGGUAAAACACUUCCAGGAAUACUUAUCCCUUCUCCCUUUCCUGGCCCAUCAGGAAAGCUGCAUUUAAGACCAAAAGGAAUAAUUAUUCCAGAAGUCCUCUGAGUGCCCUUGUAGAAGUAGAUAAACAGAUUGAUCAGUGAGAAAAAAAAUAUGUUCUCAUCCAGCCUGUGGGGUGAGUUAACCAUGCAUGCUUUUCUCCGGAUGUUUGACUUCCUGAAUCUUUCCUGAACAAUGCCAUCUCUGUCCUGGCACCCCUGGCAAGCAGUCCCAUGUGAGACAGGUUCUUGUCACAUGUCCUUUUCCUGAAAUGAGUCACUAGAGAGUGGGCUGUAGUCAUAACCUUCACCAGUUAAGGGAGGUGAAUGUGGAUUGGAAUGAACACAAACACGGUACUACUUGGUGCUUAAUGUUCCUUUCCAUCAACAUUUUGCCCCAGGCCUUAACCUUGCAACUCAAAAAAGUAGGGUCGCAUAAUGAAUGGGAUAAACUGAAUGACCGCUUGUAAUCCACAAACAAAGGGCCUUUCAACAGCCUAUGGUCGGAGGCCUUAUCUAUUCCAAUCAAAUCUAGCCAGUUGCAAACUGGAGAAAAAAAUGGGUGAUCCCAGUGAGAAUUAGUCCCAGAAGAAAAUUGAAAAAGACAUUUUGUUACCUCCUCAGGAAAAGUGAUAAUGAGCAGAGAAGGGAAAAAUCUAAAUAACUGAUGCAAAGACAAAGAACUGAAACUGAGAGAAUUGGAUGCAUGUCUUCCCCCUUUAGUUGUAUAAGCAUAAACUGGUUUUAUGACGGCAAGCAUAAAAUUAAGAUCAGCAGUGCACAAAUCUCUGUGUAACCUUCAAGACCUUUUAUUUCCCCAAAUUAGAAGUGACCUUAAGAACUGAUGGUGUCUUCACCCUGGGCAGCUAUGGUGGUGGAGCAGAAAAUAGUAGACUGGGAUUGGGACAGGCUAAGUCCCACCCUUCACCCUGGCUGGGUGACCUUGGGCAUACUCACCCUUGCUUUUCUGGGACUGAGGGUCUUCAUCUGAGAAAUGAAUCAUUUUUCUUGAUAAUUUACAGUUUUCUUUCAAAUCCCUCCACACCCCCACCCCCACCAAGGUUUUUAUUUUUAUGGCAACUCAGAUCUUGAACCUUAAAAAAAAAAAUAAAGUAGAGAGGACAGCAAUCCUUACCAGUGUCACUCUAUCACCCUAUACAGCUCCUCAAACACAAGCCCAGAAGGGGCUUCAUUUUGGUGGAAGUCCUGGGCCUACAUUUGUAUAUUUAAGUGGAACCCGAAUACUUGCUCCCAGAGUGGUGUCAGUGGUCACCCCAACUUUCCAAAUUCUGGCAGGCACAGCAGGUCAUUCUGUGAGCUGUUCUCAUUCACAUCCUAUUUCCAACUGGUUCUGUUCCACGGAGCCCCAGCUGUACUCUGCAAUUCAGUUCUACCAACGCUCAUUGCAUGUUGCUGAUAUGGCAGGCACUAAUGUGAGAUGCUGUGAGCAAGCAAGCAUAGCCCAGCCCCACUCUAGUAGGGAACACAGAAAUACUUGUAAUGUGAGCCGAAUGGAAGCAUAAUGCCCUGUGGCAACACUUAGGAGGGUGACGGUCAUUCUAGCUUGGGCAAAGCUUCAUGGGGGAGGAGGCCUUUGUCCUGAGCUUUGUGAGAUGGGUAGGAUUUAGGCAGGCUGAGACAAAGGAAGAGCAUGCCAAGCAGAAAGAAGAGCAGGAAGGAAGGCAUGGAGGCAGAAGUGUUCAAGUCAUAUUUAAGGAGUGGCACUUGCUGGAUCUCCAAGUGUCUUCAGAGUGAUGAGCUUAGGAAUUCAGGGAAAGGCCUUGUCAUAGAAAGCCUUCAGGAUUCUAAGGAAUUUAGACUUUAGGGCAGAAAAUGGGAAACCAUGGACAUUCUUGAGCAGGGAUAUAUCAUGGUGGGACUUGUGCCUCAGGAAGAGCAAUCCAUCAGCAGAAAGGCUUGGAGAGUGAGUAGAGGCAGAAGAACAAUGAGGGCAUUAUUGCAAAAGUCCAGACCAGUGGUCACGGAGGUCUGAAGUUUAGUGAUGAGACCAAAAUUGGAAAGGAGGGAACUUUGGACAGGUGCUGUAGCAGCAACAGAAUGGAGGCUCUGGGGCUUAUGGGGUAUGGGGAUUAAAUUCACACUGAGGCAGGAGAGUGUUGAGAGGGAAUCCAGCCAUCUUCUCUUCCUGGGCUCACAGGGUGGUUUAUCCUGGGGGUUGUUGUGCAGCAGUUCUCUGAUGUCAAAAAUGAGCAGGCUUAGGGAAAUUGAUCUACUUUGGUAGAGAUUGUGGGCUGUCCACCAAUAUCUAGCUACCUUACUUUAUUAAAAAUAGAAUCCUUAAUUUUUAGCUAGGCAAAUGCCUCCUACCCCUAGUUGGAAUAAAGACAUUUUUCAGUUUUCUUGCAUCAGAAUGGGUUUGCAUGAGUACACCUGGGCAGUGAUUUGUCAGACUUUGGGAAAAUAUGAUUUUUUUGUUGGCAAGAAAGCAGCCUGGAUGGAGCUCCAGUGACCAUCUUAAACCACUAGACAAAAACUCAUGUUGAAGAUAAUGGAGCUAUAAGAUAGUGACUGAUGAUGACUGUAGAGUUGCCAUACUUGUCCCAGGCUGCCAACAUCUGGAUUUCAUUGACAUGGGAGAGAAAUAAAUGUACAUUUUAUUUAUGCUACUGUUUUGUCUGUUUUAUGCAACCAAAUCUAACCUAAUCUUUGUCCAUAUAACAAAAGUCAAAAGAGUAUAAUGCAAACUCAUUUAUAACUUUUUAACAAUGGAAAUAUAUGUAUCUCAUCUAAGGACACAUCUUCCAAGGAUUUUAGCACCCAAGAAGCCAAAGUAUUCAUUCAAAGAUUGAGGGGUGACCAGAGUCUUGGAUGGGGCAAGUCCAUCAGGUCAGUUCUUGGGCUUUAGUCCAUCAGGCUCUAUAGAAACUUCACCAACUCUCUUUACUGCACAACCAAGCCCUCCACUCUCAUGAGAGGGGAGCUCAUGUCCUCUAAGCCCCAUGUCUCUUUCCACUGAAAGAGCACUGCUCUCAGAUUCCCAUUUUCCCCAAUUCUAUUCAAUUUGUGUCUUGUUAACAUAAUCUUCCUUUAAAUCAGAUGCAAUACAACUGAGGAUGACUCAGGUCUUGGAGUUGGAAUCGGAUCUGAGUCCUGCCCUUUCUAUACUUGACCUCUUAACUGGCCAGUGACUCAUUUACACAAAAUAUUUUGGGUUGGUUUGGCAAGUGUUCACUGCUUAGAUACUUUACAUUCAGGAUGUACUUUAUCAUAUUAAGAGUAUAGG
rnacentral:lncRNA from 1 species